GGUGUAAUCGAUAAGGACUGCACGACAACUUCUGCUCAGAGACAAUGUUCAAUGCCUUCAACGUCAGCUAAGAUCGUCAUCAAGAUCACGACAAAUUCAGUAUAAAAGCCCAGAGGAUCUCUUCAGUCAGCACAGUCAGUUCACAAUCAGUCAACUGAAGCAAUCAAACCAACCAACCCAAUUCAAGAUGAUGAAAUUCCUGAUCUUCGCUUUCCUCGUUGCCUUCGCUGUUGCCGUUGCUUAUGCCAGCCCUGAGCCAGCUCCUCGUCCAGCUCCUCUUCCUGUUGCCUACCCACAACACGGAUAUGGAUACGGAUAUGCUCCAUAUGGUGGAUAUGGUUACUACUAAUUUCCCCCAAACUCUGGACUCAACUGAAGCAACUAAAUGCAGAUACACACAAUUUAUUUCGCAGAAUAAUGAAAUCCGACAAUUAAAGUAAUUGCAAUUACAAUUCGACUCUGUAUUAUUUAACUCUCAAGGGGUUUUGUCUCGAAGCAAUUAAUCUUAAUGUGAGUAAUCACAGAUAAAAAUUCCUUCAGGAUUUUUUCUGAAUACUUUUUCGUCUUUAUUAGGGCUUUACCACACUCACUGACUACAUAAUUCGAAGAAAUAAAAAAUUGACCAAUUAACACUGAAGCUAAUUGGUUGGAAUCCUCAACCGAAAUACUUAGUGUUAACCAUAAUUCUUUAAAUUUUACAUAAAAAGGUACAAGUGUUCUUUCAGCCCCUUCUCGUUCCCAUAGAAACAUUAGGUUUUAUCAUGAAUUCCAUUACGUUCCUUCCCGGCUGACACAACUUUAAGAUUUUUUAAAGAUUUUCACAAUUCGCGUCAAUAGUACUCGUCAGUAGUUCCCAUAUAAAGUUUUCCGACUAUUUGUUCGAAAAUGGCACUUUUUUUCGCGUGUGUGUAUUAGUGAGUAGCGCUGAGUAGCGCAUCCGUGUAUUUCUCAUGUGC